AGAAUGUUUAUCCUAACUUUGAAAAGACAAGAAUGAAAAUGAUUAAUUUACUAAUUAACUAAAAAUAAACAAAUUAAGCUGGAGCUAUCUGAGAAGAAGGAACCAGAGUUGAGAAGAUGCCUCCAGAAGUCUGGCCUCAAGGCAAGCCUGUGGAGCACUUUCUUAGUGAGGGGAUGUGUAAGGGCCAGCCCACUAUGGGCAGUGCAACCUCUGAGCAUCUGCUCCUGGAGUGUUUAUGAAAACAGGCUGAACAAGGAAGAAGCCGGUAAGCAGCACUCUUGAAUUACCUGGGCAUCAGCUCCUGCCUCCAGAAUCCUGUUUUGAGUUCAUGCCCUGACUUUCCUGACUGAUGGACUACAAGGUUGGUUAUGCACCUCUUAAAAUGAAGAUACAAGACACAUGUGAUUCUGAACAAUAUAAUUGUCAUCUAGCUACCAAAUAGUUUAAAGGCAGCUUAGUUCUUUUGGUUAAAAUAUGAAUAAUGCAUAAAAGGAGCCUGUAAAGAGAAGUAACUGGAGGGGAGGAAGGAUGCUGCUCAAUGUAUUUUUUGAUGAAAAUGAGGGUUUCUCUGUGGCUUUGGAGGCUGUCCUUGAACUAGCUCUUAUAGACCAGGCUGGUCUCGAACUCACAGAGAUCCACCUGCCUCUGCCUCCCAAGUGCUGGGAUUAAAUGCAUUCGCCACCAAGCCCAGCUUACUUUGUUUUUGUUUUGUUUUUGUUGUUGUUGUUUUUUGUUUUUUUAUGUUAAGUUCU
rnacentral:lncRNA from 1 species